UGAGGAAUAUUGGUCAAUGGGCGAGAGCCUGAACCAGCCAAGUCGCGUGAGGGAAGACGGUCCUACGGAUUGUAAACCUCUUUUGUCGGGGAGCAAUAAGGCGUACGCGUACGCAGAUGCGAGUACCCGAAGAAAAAGCAUCGGCUAACUCUGUGCC
rnacentral:rRNA from 1 species